AAAAGCCAGAGGAGAACUGAGGUUGGAAGAUGGGCUUUAAAAAGAUGCACCAACUAUACUCUUUGGGCAGAGGCUUGAAAAGUUUGAGGAGCCCUGAUGUAAGAUACACUUCGCAGAAGGUCACUUGCAGCCUACUAAGAGUAGAACAAAUAUAUGUGGAUUUAACAAAAAAUACCUUAAAUGUUGGUACUAUUGAACAAUCAUAAUGUAUUUGCUUUUUAAGUCCAUUCAGUAAUGGAAUCUGAAAGAAUGUAAUUAUUUUUAAAAAAUAUUUCAAAAUACCAAA